rnacentral:rRNA from 1 species
UACGUAGGAUGCGAGCGUUAUCCGGAUUUACUGGGUUUAAAGAGUGCGUAGGUUGUAGGGUAAGUUUACAAUUAAAGAUCAAGGCUCAACCUUGGGAAUGUUGUAGAUACUGUCUUACUAGAGAUCGGUCGGGGGAAGUGGAAUUCCCGAUGUAGGAGUAAUAUCCGUUGAUAUCGGGAGGAACACCAGUGGCGAAGGCGGCUUCCUAGACUGAUUCUGACACUGAGGCACGAAAGCUAGGGGAGCGAAA